AAGCUCAAAUUUAAAAUCUGGCUGUCUAUAUGGCAGUCCGAGUUGUAAUCUAGAGAAGUGCUACCCGCGCUGGACCGUGUACAAGUCUCCUGGAACGGAGCAUCAUAGAGGGUGAGAAUCCCGUCUUUGACACGGACUGCCAGGGCUAUGUGGUGCGCUCUCAACGAGUCGAGUUGUUUGGGAAUGCAGCUCAAAAUGGGUGGUAAAUUCCAUCUAAAGCUAAAUAUAGGCGAGAGACCGAUAGCGAACAAGUACCGUGAGGGAAAGAUGAAAAGAACUUUGGAAAGAGAGUUAAACAGUACGUGAAAUUGCUGAAAGGGAAACGCUUGAAGUCAGUCGCGCUGGCCAGGGAUCAACCUCGCUCUUUUGUGAGGCGCACUUUCUGGUCGGUGGGUCAGCAUCAGUUUUGGUUGCUGGAUAAAGGCCUUGGGAAUGUGGCAUCUUCGGAUGUGUUAUAGCCCUUGGUUGGAUACAGUGGCUGGGAUUGAGGAACUCAGCACGCCGCAAGGCCGGGCUUUUAGCCACGUACGUGCUUGGGAUGCUGGCAUAAUGGCUUUAAUCGACCCGUCUUGAAACACGGACCAAGGAGUCUAACAUGCCUGCGAGUAUUUGGGUGGAAAACCCGAGUGCGCAAUGAAAGUGAAAGUUGAGAUCCCUGUCGUGGGGAGCAUCGACGCCCGGACCUGAGGCUUGCUGACGGUUCUGCGGUAGAGCAUGUAUGUUGGGACCCGAAAGAUGGUGAACUAUGCCUGAAUAGGGUGAAGCCAGAGGAAACUC
rnacentral:rRNA from 1 species